rnacentral:ncRNA from 1 species
AUGGACCAAGCCGAAAAUCCAUAUCAAAAGAGUAGGCA